rnacentral:rRNA from 1 species
AUUGAACGCUGGCGGCAUGCUUUACACAUGCCAGUCGAACGGCAGCGCGGGCUUCGGCCUGGCGGCGCGUGGCGAACGGGUGAGUAAUGCAUCGGAACGUGCCCAGUCGUGGGGGAUAGCCCGGCGAAAGCCGGAUUAAUACCGCAUACGACCUGAUGUUGAAAGCGGGGGACCGAUAGUCCUCGCGCUAUUGGCUCUCCCGAUGUCGGAUUAGCUAGUUGGUGGGGUAAAGGCUUACCAAGGCGACGAUCCGUAGCUGGUCUGAGAGGACGACCAGCCACACUGGGACUGAGACACGGCCCAGACUCCUACGGGAGGCAGCAGUGGGGAAUUUUGGACAAUGGGGGCAACCCUGAUCCAGCCAUGCCGCGUGCGGGAAGAAGGCCUUCGGGUUGUAAAACGCUGUUGUUCGGGAAGAAAUACUCUGGGCUAAUACCCCGGGGGGAUGACGGUACCGGAAGAAUAAGCACCGGCUAACUACGUG